rnacentral:rRNA from 1 species
UAAAGGAAUUGACGGACUCCUACGGGAGGCAGCAGUGGGGAAUUUUGGACAAUGGGGGCAACCCUGAUCCAGCCAUGCCGCGUGAGUGAAGAAGGCCUUCGGGUUGUAAAGCUCUUUCGGCGGGGACGAAACGGUUCGUGACAACACCGCGAACUAAUGACAGUACUCGCAGAAGAAGCACCGGCUAACUACGUGCCAGCAGCCGCGGUAAUACGUAGGGUGCAGGCGUUAAUCGGAAUUACUGGGCGUAAAGCGUGCGCAGGCGGCUCCUUAAGUCAGAUGUGAAAUCCCCGGGCUUAACCUGGGAACUGCGUUUGAAACUGGGGAGCUGGAGUGUGGAAGAGGGGGGUGGAAUUCCAGGUGUAGCAGUGAAAUGCGUAGAGAUCUGGAGGAACACCGAUGGCGAAGGCAGCCCCCUGGGCUAACACUGACGCUCAUGCACGAAAGCGUGGGGAGCAAACAGGAUUAGAUACCCUGGUAGUCCACGCCCUAAACGAUGUCAACUGGUUGUCGGGGAAGCAAUUCCUUGGUAACGAAGCUAACGCGUGAAGUUGACCGCCUGGGGAGUACGGCCGCAAGGUUAAAACUCAAAGGAAUUGACG